rnacentral:rRNA from 1 species
GACGAACGCUGGCGGCGUGCCUAACACAUGCAAGUCGAGCGGGGUUGAAGCGAGGGGUAACUCGAACUUCUACCUAGCGGCGGACGGGUGAGUAACGCGUGGGCAACCUGCCUCAAGGUCUGGGAUAACAGCUCGAAAGGGCUGCUAAUACCGGAUAUGCCUAUAGCCUCGCAUGGGGCUAUGAGCAAAGGGGAAACCCGCCUUGAGAUGGGCCCGCGUCCCAUCAGCUAGUUGGUGAGGUGAAGGCUCACCAAGGCGACGACGGGUAGCCGGCCUGAGAGGGUGACCGGCCACACUGGGACUGAGACACGGCCCAGACUCCUACGGGGGGCAGCAGUGGGGAAUCUUGCACAAUGGGCGAAAGCCUGAUGCAGCGACGCCGCGUGAGCGAAGAAGGCCUUCGGGUUGUAAAGCUCUGUCUGGAGGGACGAAGAAAGUAGACGGUACCUCCGGAGGAAGCCACGGCUAACUACGUGCCAGCAGCCGCGGUAAACGUAAGCGUG